rnacentral:sRNA from 12 species
UAGACCCUGUUUCAGUCGAAGUCCAACGUCAUACGUCGGGUAUUUAUGUAGGCUGAAUGGGGUUAA